CCUACGGGAGGCAGCAGUGAGGAAUAUUGGUCAAUGGACGCAAGUCUGAACCAGCCAUGCCGCGUGCAGGAAGACGGCUCUAUGAGUUGUAAACUGCUUUUGUACGAGGGUAAACGCAGAUACGCGUAUCUGUCUGAAAUGAUCGUACGAAUAAGGAUCGGCUAACUCCGUGACAUCAGCCGCGGUAAUACGGAGGAUUCAAGCGUUAUCCUGAAUGAUUGGGUUGAAAGGUUGCGUAGGCGGGCGGAUAAGUUAGAGGUGAAAUCCCGAGGCUCAACUUCGGAAUUGCCUUUGAUACUGUUCGGCUAGAGAGUAGUAGCGGUAGGCGGAAUGUAUGGUGUAGCGGUGAAAUGCUUAGAGAUCAUACAGAACACCGAUGGCGAAGGCAGCUUACCAAGCCAAUUCUGACGUUGAGGCACGAAAGCGUGGGGAGCAAACAGGAUUAGAUACCCGGGUAGUC
rnacentral:rRNA from 1 species